rnacentral:rRNA from 1 species
UGGGGAAUAUUGCACAAUGGAGGGAACUCUGAUGCAGCGACGCCGCGUGAGUGAUGAAGGAAUUCGUUUCGUAAAACUCUGUUCUAUGGGAAGAAAAGGACUGUACCAUAGGAGAAAGCUCCGGCUAAAUACGUGCCAGCAGCCGCGGUAAUACGUAUGGAGCGAGCGUUGUCCGGAAUUAUUGGGCGUAAAGGGUGCGCAGGCGGCUUUACAAGUUGGAUGUGAAAUAUUGUGGCUCAACCACAAACGUGCAUCCAAAACUGCAAAGCUUGAGUUAAGGAGAGGGAAGUGGAAUUCCUGGUGUAGCGGUGGAAUGCGUAGAUAUGAGGAGGAAUACCGGUGGCGAAGGCGACUUACUGGACUUAAACUGACGCUCAGGCACGAAAGCGUGGGGAGCAAACAGG